rnacentral:rRNA from 1 species
UACGGAGGAUCCAAGCGUUAUCCGGAUUUAUUGGGUUUAAAGGGUGCGUAGGUGGGAUAAUAAGUCAGAGGUGAAAGCUAGCAGCUUAACUGUUAAAUUGCCUUUGAUACUGUUAUUCUUGAGUAUAGUUGGCGUUGGCGGAAUGUGACAUGUAGCGGUGAAAUGCGUAGAUAUGCCACAGAACACCGAUCGCGAAGGCAGCUAACGAAACUAUCACUGACACUGAUGCACGAAAGCGUGGGGAGCAAACAGG